rnacentral:rRNA from 1 species
AGAUUGAACGCUAGCGGGAUGCUUUACACAUGCAAGUCGAACGGCAGCGCGGACUUCGGUCUGGCGGCGAGUGGCGAACGGGUGAGUAAUAUAUCGGAACGUGCCCAGUAGCGGGGGAUAACUACGCGAAAGCGUGGCUAAUACCGCAUACGCCCUACGGGGGAAAGGGGGGAUCGCAAGACCUCUCACUAUUGGAGCGGCCGAUAUCAGGUUAGCUAGUUGGUGAGGUAAAGGCUCACCAAGGCGACGAUCUGUAGCUGGUUUGAGAGGACGACCAGCCACACUGGGACUGAGACACGGCCCAGACUCCUACGGGAGCAGCAGUGGGGAAUAUUGCACAAUGGGACGCAA